ACUCAAAGGAAUUGACGGGGGCUCACACAAGCGGUGGAGGAUGUGGUUUAAUUCGAAGCAACGCGAAGAACCUUACCAGGUCUUGACAUUCCGGGAUUAGUUCGGUGAAAGCCGAAUGAUUGCCCUCAAAGCGUAACCGGAACAGGUGCUGCAUGGCUGUCGUCAGCUCGUGCCGUGAGGUGUUAGGUUAAGUCCUUUAACGAGCGAAACCCCUACGAUUAGUUACCAACGGAUAAUGCCGGGGACUCUAGUCGGACUGCCGCGAAAGUAGGAGGAAGGUGGGGACGACGUCAAGUCAUCAUGGCCUUUAUGAUCUGGGCUACACACGUCCUACAAUGGGUUGUACAAUGGGUAGCAAAGUCGCGAGACCAAGCCAAUCCCCAAAAGCAAUCCUCAGUUCAGAUUGUGGGCUGCAAUUCGCCCACAUGAAGCUGGAAUCGCUAGUAAUCGCGGAUCAGCUACGCCGCGGUGAAUAUGUUCCUGAGCCUUGUACACACCGCCCGU
rnacentral:rRNA from 1 species